GACGUAGGGUCCAAGCGUUGUCCGGAUUUACUGGGCGUAAAGAGCGCGUAGGCGGUCUGUUAAGUGUAGAGUGAAAUCUCUGGGCUCACCCCAGAAACUGCUCUGCAUACUGGCAGACUUGAGGGAUGCAGAGGUUUGUGGAAUUCCUGGUGUAGCGGUGAAAUGCGUUGAUAUCAGGAGGAACACCGACGGCGAAGGCAGCGCCCUGGCCGCCAUCUGACGCUCAGGCACGAAAGCUGGGGGAGCGAACAGG
rnacentral:rRNA from 1 species